rnacentral:rRNA from 1 species
GAUGAACGCUGGCGGCGUGCCUAAUACAUGCAAGUCGAUCGAACGGACGAGAAGCUUGCUUCUCUGAUGUUAGCGGCGGACGGGUGAGUAACACGUGGAUAACCUACCUAUAAGACUGGGAUAACUUCGGGAAACCGGAGCUAAUACCGGAUAAUAUUUUGAACCGCAUGGUUCAAAAGUGAAAGACGGUCUUGCUGUCACUUAUAGAUGGAUCCGCGCUGCAUUAGCUAGUUGGUAAGGUAACGGCUUACCAAGGCAACGAUGCAUAGCCGACCUGAGAGGGUGAUCGGCCACACUGGAACUGAGACACGGUCCAGACUCCUACGGGAGGCAGCAGUAGGGAAUCUUCCGCAAUGGGCGAAAGCCUGACGGAGCAACGCCGCGUGAGUGAUGAAGGUCUUCGGAUCGUAAAACUCUGUUAUUAGGGAAGAACAUAUGUGUAAGUAACUGUGCACAUCUUGACGGUACCUAAUCAGAAAGCCACGGCUAACUACGUGCCAGCAGCCGCGGUAAUACGUAGGUGGCAAGCGUUAUCCGGAAUUAUUGGGCGUAAAGCGCGCGUAGGCGGUUUUUUAAGUCUGAUGUGAAAGCCCACGGCUCAACCGUGGAGGGUCAUUGGAAACUGGAAAACUUGAGUGCAGAAGAGGAAAGUGGAAUUCCAUGUGUAGCGGUGAAAUGCGCAGAGAUAUGGAGGAACACCAGUGGCGAAGGCGACUUUCUGGUCUGUAACUGACGCUGAUGUGCGAAAGCGUGGGGAUCAAACAGGAUUAGAUACCCUGGUAGUCCACGCCGUAAACGAUGAGUGCUAAGUGUUAGGGGGUUUCCGCCCCUUAGUGCUGCAGCUAACGCAUUAAGCACUCCGCCUGGGGAGUACGACCGCAAGGUUGAAACUCAAAGGAAUUGACGGGGACCCGCACAAGCGGUGGAGCAUGUGGUUUAAUUCGAAGCAACGCGAAGAACCUUACCAAAUCUUGACAUCCUUUGACAACUCUAGAGAUAGAGCCUUCCCCUUCGGGGGACAAAGUGACAGGUGGUGCAUGGUUGUCGUCAGCUCGUGUCGUGAGAUGUUGGGUUAAGUCCCGCAACGAGCGCAACCCUUAAGCUUAGUUGCCAUCAUUAAGUUGGGCACUCUAAGUUGACUGCCGGUGACAAACCGGAGGAAGGUGGGGAUGACGUCAAAUCAUCAUGCCCCUUAUGAUUUGGGCUACACACGUGCUACAAUGGACAAUACAAAGGGCAGCGAAACCGCGAGGUCAAGCAAAUCCCAUAAAGUUGUUCUCAGUUCGGAUUGUAGUCUGCAACUCGACUACAUGAAGCUGGAAUCGCUAGUAAUCGUAGAUCAGCAUGCUACGGUGAAUACGUUCCCGGGUCU